rnacentral:lncRNA from 1 species
CUACUCCAGUAUGAUCUCAUUUUAACUUGAUUACAUCUGCAAAGACUCUAUUUCCAAAUAAGGUCACAUUUAUAGGUAUAGCAGGGGUUAGGACUUGAACAUAUCUAUUUUGGGGGAAUACAAUUGAACUCUCAACAGGCAGAAACAGAUUUUUUUCAUCUGACAGCUUCUUACAGGUUUUAAUUUCAGUGACUCUGCAAGAGGGGAGGACAUACAAACCAUUUUUUUUUUUUAAAGACAUAUUUUAUGUAACUGGUGUUUUAAGGAACAUGUUUGGGGAAAAAUGCCUUGGGUGAGUGAGGAGACUAUUUAGCAGUGGCCACUCACUUUACCAAAGAUUCGCAGUGACCGACCAUAUAGUCUGGUUCCCUGAUGGUAGAUGCUUCUUACGGCUGUCCCUCAAAAGAUUAUUGGCAGUCCCUGGAGCCUCUUUGUAAGGGUUCCCAUACCUGGCUGGUGAGACUGCAGUAGUAUGACGGGGGAGACUGGCCAAGCAGGGCAUCCUGGAGGACAGUGUGUUUGCGUUCUGAUGUUUGUGGCUACAGUGCUCUGGUUUCAGACAUCCCAGGACUUCCAUGAUGUUGCAUUUUCUGAAUUCUGAAAGGGGAUAUACAAUCUGAUUCAAAGGUGAAAUGAGGGACAGUUGACAGGGCUGUUUUAUUUGGAUGAGUAGGUUGUACAAUGCAUGUCUCUAGGGGUGGAAUUCACAUAGUGGAGAUGGUAGAUCCAAUUUUCUUGUAAUAGAGUGUCCUGUUCUCAGAACGCCAGUAUUUUGUGACAAUUUUCCAGCAGGUGGCAUAAAGUGUCUUGAGGAAGGGGCACCUUUUUCUAGUUCUCACAAAGGUGACAUAUGGUAUAGAGGUGGCCCUGAAUGGAAGGAGAAGCCAUCAUCAAUUCUUGGAAUGUGAGAUCUGAAAGGCCUCUGAGAGAGUAUUGAUCCAUCUCUGGAAUUGUUAGGACUCUUGCUUACAAAUAAUAGAAACCCAAUUCUAACUGGCUAACACCAACAGGAAACUAAUAAUCAGAAUGCAAGAACAGGAAUGCAGCUGGGACUCAGGAGCAUGCUGGAUCCAGGUACUCUGACAUGGUCAGGACUUACAUUUCUCUCUUUACCUGCUUUUUUCCCUUAAUCCAAAACAUCGUGGUAGACAACUCCUGGGUGUCACAUGGUGGAUGCUCAGCAGUCAGCAGAGACUGACCUCCUCUAUGCUCCAGUGUUAAACUCUCAAAGACCUAGUAUUUGAUAGCACAACAGGAUGACUAUAGCAAAAAAUAAUUUAAUUGUACAUUUAAAUUAACUGAAAUAUUAUAACUGGAUUGUUUGUAAAACAAAGGAUAAAUGCUUGAGAUGGAUACCCCAUUUACCCUGAUGUGAUUAUUAUGUAUUGUAUGCCAGUAUUAAAAUAU